rnacentral:lncRNA from 1 species
UUCUUUCUCUCUCUCUCUUCUCUCCCAUAUCUCUCAUCCACCACCACAGUCCCCACCAUUCCCCACCAUUCCCCACCACUGCCACCACCGUGCACCACCACAACCACCACCAUUCACCACUACAACCACAACCACAACCAUUCACAACCAUAGCCUCACCCCUUUCACUUUCUUCACAUGAUGGCCCUGUUGGUGUCUAAAUCACCAUCACUCGCCGGAAAAUGGAUUCACGGAUGAGUUCGCAAUUGUGGGUUUAAAUACCACCUUAAUCGGUCAAAAUAGUGGGUUUAGAACCCACCCAAAUCGGUUGCAAUAGCGGUUUCAGAACCCCCAUAUCUGAAAGAAACCCUAAAUUGUUGAGAUGAGACGAUUUUGGGAAAAAAUGUGAACUGAGAUCUGUUAGGGAGCUUGAGAACAAACCGAUCGAUGUCAAUUCUCUUUCUAGGUUUUAGAUCUCAAAAAUCAAGGACAUUGAGGUUUGAAGAUGUAACCAAUAGUGGUGGUCAUGUCAAGCUGCCAGAAAACAUUAUGGCUGGCAACUGAUGUGUAUAUGUGAGAGCUGUAUAUGUGUUUUGAGAGCUGUAUAUGUGCCUUCACUCCCACUUGCAGGUUUUAUAAAAGCUCUAGUUUUUAUAAAUUUUGUUACUUUUUGAGGUGUUUGAGUUCUUGAUUGUUGGAAAUUGGAAUGUUUGGUGAAUGGCGGUGGUUGUGGUGA